rnacentral:lncRNA from 1 species
CCCCUUUACUGGAGAUUUAUGAGAGAGAGAGCAGGCAGGGAGGGACCAGGCAUAGCCACCGUACCCGGUCAGUCAGGACCAGACGUGUGUGAAGGGCACAGGACACACACCCUCACACCGCCCCCACACACACCUUCACUCACACACACACAUACACACUCACACACAGGGGCAAAGGCAAGCUUCCUGUGGAGGAGUUCCUGCCAUACUGUCACCGAGAAGGCCACCGGUAAAAGGCUGAUACUCGCUGCUCCGUCUCCGGGAUGGCGGAGGCGCACCAGGCGGUGGGAUUUCAGUUCACCGUCAGGCCGGAUGGCAUCGACCUUCACCUAAGCAGGGAGGUCCUCAAACACAUCUACCUGUCCGGAGUAACUAAAAUAAAAUACCCGGGUUUUAAAUGUUCA